GAUGAAGAACGCAGCAAAAUGCGAUAAGUAAUGUGAAUUGCAGAAUUCAGUGAAUCAUCGAAUCUUUGAACGCACAUUGCGCCCGCUGGUAUUCCGGCGGGCAUGCCUGUUCGAGCGUCAUUUCAACCCUCAAGCCCCCGGGUUUGGUGUUGGGGAUCGGCUCUGCCCUUCUGGGCGGUGCCGCCCCCGAAAUACAUUGGCGGUCUCGCUGCAGCCUCCAUUGCGUAGUAGCUAACACCUCGCAACUGGAACGCGGCGCGGCCAUGCCGUAAAACCCCAACUUCUGAAAGUUUGACCUCGGAUCAGGUAGGAAUACCCGCUGAACUUAAGCAUAUCAAUAAGCGGAGGA
rnacentral:misc_RNA from 1 species